GUGUGAGUUCUGCUCUGCACAGGCCUUACUUCUGAAGGUCUGUGUGGGUGCAACAGUGCUGCCAGUUAAGCUCUUCUCAAAUCAGGCAGGAUCUUCUGCAAACCCUCUGCACCUUCUGUGCCUCCGGCAGUACAGCCAAAAAAAGGGGCACCAGGAGGGGAAGGAGCUGAAUUCUGCCCACUGCUGUGUCGGUGAAUAUCUGCUCAAGGCACACCCUGGAGCUGAACAGUACCUUUAACAUCACGUCUUACCCUGUGCAUGGCAAAAGUGCCGGUUGUAAAAGAGACUGACGGAGACUUUAGAUUGUCUGCCUGAAGCUAGCGGGCUGUCAGAAAAAGAAAUGCGUCA